CCACAGCAACCAGCACCACCACCCAGGCCUCCUAAGCAUUUACCCAAGGAUUUCAAGCCACUUCCUCCCGAACCAAGUCGUAGCCAAAGUCCCUCAGAACCCAACAAAUUGUUGAACUCUAGAAAAAGUCCAGUGACAACUCAGAGUGGCAAUGGCACAGUAUCUCCUUGGAAGAAUACAAAUGACGAGAUAAUACCAAGAAAGGGCAUUCAUUUUAGAUGUCAGCCUGACAUUCCUUCACCAACCAAAGACCUUCAUCCACCAACCAGGAAUCCGCCCCCACCAUACAGAGACCCGCCGCUACCGAGCAGAGACCCGCCGCUACCGAACAGAGACCCGCCCCUACCGAACAGAGACCCGCCGCUACCGAACAGAGACCCGCCGCUAC